UGAGGAAUAUUGGUCAAUGGGCGGGGAGCCUGAACCAGCCAAGUCGCGUGAGGGAAGACGGUCCUAUGGAUUGUAAACCUCUUUUUGUCGGGGAGCAAAGAGGCCACGUGUGGUCAAAAGCGAGGACGUACCGAAAGAAAAGCAGUCGGACUAACCUCGU
rnacentral:rRNA from 1 species